rnacentral:rRNA from 2 species
GGAUGCGAUCAUAGCAGCACUAAAGCACCGGAUCCCAUCAGAACUCCGAAGUUAAGCGUGCUUGGGCGAGAGUAGUACUAAGAUGGGUGACCUCUUGGGAAGUCCUCGUGUUGCAUUCC